rnacentral:lncRNA from 1 species
AUGGCCUUUCCCGUAGGACCUGCCCAGGGUACCUGUGCUCACAGCUCCCAUCUCACUACUGGGGAAGGAUCCGCACUAAAGUGGGUUAUUUUUUUCCCAGGUACUAUGUGCCAAUACUCAGAAAAACGCAAUUUCUGUGUCGGUAACCGUCCCCGAGGUUGGCCCCGCUCUGGCUGGUUUGCGCGUCAGGAUUUGCAAUGGGCCCGAAGAUGUGGGGGCCUGCCGCCUCUCCUCACCAGCCUCCAGGAAGUCUUGUCCCGGGAGACCGUCCAGGACGUCCGCUGUCCGUGUGUCCGGCCUCUUGCUGGAGGAGCGAGCAAUGGGGCGAGCGGGCAUGGGCACGGAGGCCUUACCCUGCAGUCCUGCAUUCACUGCACCCUCCCAUACCUGUUCCCCGCAUCCCCCUGCUGGACCCACUCCAGUCAUUUAAGGGAUGCUCCUUGCAGCAUCUAUUCUCUGCAGCUACUGAGGGACACCGGUGCGUCCUGACCUUGCUCAGCUGGCCGCUUUUUAGUAUCAAGAGGCGAGCAGUGCCAAGAUUUGCCCCCAAAAGGAAAGCUCCACGCUCUUGCUUCCUCCCCGUGGAGUGCAGUGCCAGAGGGCUCUGCCUGGCACAGGGCCAGUGUGGCAGCCUAGACUGCUUGCCUUGAGCUCCGAGGCCCCCCUUUUCCUAACCGACUGCGGCUCUUGAACAUCGGCGUCGCCUUCGCCAAGAGCCGCCACACUUCAGAACGAGACGUGGGUUUAAUGAGCAGCGAGGCCUGCGGGACGGGGAUUGAUUUUACGAAAUCCAAAGAUGCAAGGCGGUGACUCCGACGAACGUGGUAUCGGCAGUCAGAUGGCUUCUCCAUCCCAGCCGUGCAGGAGGAAGCGGUGAGAAAUAGCAUUGCUCAGCAGAAAUGUCUUGAACUGUUCCGCUCUAGAGUCAGCUCGGUGAUUUCAUGUUAUGUCAGCCAAUUAAUACCUUCUCCAGUCUGUCCUACGUGUCAGGCACAGGAGGGAUGUGUGCAUGUGUGUGUGUGUGUGUGUGCACGCACAAGAGUGCUGUUUCCAGUAACCAUGUGGAAAGCAUCAUCAGCUUAGUGGAGAGGCUGACUUCUUCCCCGCCCAGUAGAAUAUGAAGACGUUGUGGCAUGUUUGGUUAAAGGACACGGUGGUGAUGUCAUUCAGGAUGAGUGAUUUACAGAUGACAUUGAAGAAAAGACAACCUGCUUGGUGCUCACUUAAGCUUUCCUCCUGAUAGAUGUGGGGGCUCCCUCUAAGGGGACCUGGGCGUCCCCAGGCCACGGCUUCUCCUGUGUGUGUUCUUCCUCCUCUGCUUGCUCUCGUCAGAGGCAGGUGCCCCUGUCCUCCAGAACACGUGUGCGCUCAGCCUCCUUCUGCGGCAGGUGCAGAGUUUAGGCCUUCACCCUGGGCGGCACCCAAGGCGAGGGGCCGUCACUGCAGAAUCGUCCCCAGGAAAGGCGCUAACCACUCACAGGCAUGCCUG